GCAGCGCGAUCGUAUGCCUUCGCCGCUUCAACGGCGGUGUCAAAGGUACCAAGCUAGACAUGAGAUCCCUUCCGAUUUGGAUCUCUGAUCUCCGCCGCAUACUUCCCCCACGGCCGUUUCCUCACUCCACGGUACCUCCUCAUAUCCCGUGCUGGCUCCGGUGCCGGUGCCGGUGCCGGUUCCAGUGAAUCAUGCCACUCAAACACGGGCGGUGGCGGGUGCUAGAUGGAUAGCGCGGCGGGUCGGCGUUCUGGGUCGAAUCUGAAACUAAUAAUGAGCGCAACUAAGUUUGGGAUCCGAUAACAGUAAGGAUCCGCUGCUAAGUCGGUGAAGAAGUCUGGUACCGCGUUGGAAUCACCGAGAAGAUGCUCGCGUAUGAGGACGAGCACGAAGAAAUCCGCUGCUAGGUUUGAUUACGAGCUAGUUUUUUCUCUAUGGUUUGGGACCUCUCCGGCGCCAACCUCCAUCCAAUCCUAUCUGAAUUCGCUCCAUUUCGGUGUGGGGGUUUGUGGAAGCUGUAGGAGCUGAUUUGGAAUUUUGGGGGUGAUUUCGUUUCUAGGUUUUGGAACAAACAAAUGAGAUUGAUAUUUCCAAAGCACUAAAAUGGCGCUUCUCCAGUUAAUUGUUAGGUGAAUGGACUGGUAUCCUACAUUUAGUUGGGACACCUCACAUAGAGUCAUGAAGAAGACAUUCAUUUAGGUGAGCAAGUCAACUGAUGAAGCUUAUUGUCUUAAUACGGUAAACAAUCUCAAACUUUGCCUGCAAGAUUGCAGUUUGUCUCUUCAACUCAAGAUUUUGAUUCCGCAUGUUCUCUACUAUCAAUACUUGUUCUAGAGUACUGCACAGGAUUUUUCUGCUUCGACCAAUGCCAUGUCCUUGGACUUAGUUACUCUGUCGAUAACCAAUGCCACUGUUGUGCAAACAUCAGAUCAUACUUUAUUUAUUUUAUUUUUAACAAUUUUGUU